rnacentral:rRNA from 1 species
UACGUAGGGAGCAAGCGUUGUCCGGAAUCAUUGGGCGUAAAGCGCGCGUAGGCGGCCCUGUAAGUCCGUUGUGAAAGUCAAAGGCUCAACCUUUGAAAGCCGAUGGAUACUGCAGGGCUAGAGUCCGGAAGAGGCGAGUGGAAUUCCUGGUGUAGCGGUGGAAUGCGCAGAUAUCAGGAGGAACACCAAUAGCGAAGGCAGCUCGCUGGGACGUUACUGACACUGAGAUGCGAAAGCGUGGGGAGCAAACAGG